rnacentral:rRNA from 1 species
GAUGAACGCUGGCGGCGUGCCUAAUACAUGCAAGUCGAGCGAACAGACGAGGAGCUUGCUCCUCUGACGUUAGCGGCGGACGGGUGAGUAACACGUGGAUAACCUACCUAUAAGACUGGGAUAACUUCGGGAAACCGGAGCUAAUACCGGAUAAUAUAUUGAACCGCAUGGUUCAAUAGUGAAAGACGGUUUUGCUGUCACUUAUAGAUGGAUCCGCGCCGCAUUAGCUAGUUGGUAAGGUAACGGCUUACCAAGGCAACGAUGCGUAGCCGACCUGAGAGGGUGAUCGGCCACACUGGAACUGAGACACGGUCCAGACUCCUAAGGGAGGCAGCAGUAGGGAAUCUUCCGCAAUGGGCGAAAGCCUGACGGAGCAAAGCCGCGUGAGUGAUGAAGGUCUUCGGAUCGUAAAACUCUGUUAUUAGGGAAGAACAAAUGUGUAAGUAACUAUGAACGUCUUGACGGUACCUAAUCAGAAAGCCACGGCUAACUACGUG